UCAUUUGGAUGGAGAUGACAAAUGAUGAAACAAACAGCCCCAAGAUAAAAAGAUAAUUUAGGUGAACGGUUACGUACUUUUUCACCUUUCAUAUAUACCGAAAGUGUCCUUAGAGAGGAGAGAGAAGCAAUUCUUUCUUUGUCUCUCCCUUUACGGCCGUCAAACCCUAGUUUUCAGCCGUGUGUCUCCAGCUCCGGUGACCGGGCUUCUCUAGCUCUGGUCGCCACCCCGUCCGUUCGUUACUCCACCCAGCCUUCUCCCUUACCCUCUCCUUCGUACCUCCUCUUUUUUUUGCUGUGUGUUCUGGAUUUUCGCCAUGGUGGAUCUAAAUCGGAACUUCAUGCGUAUGAUGUUCCCUUGGAGUACCGACGAGGAGUGGUUUUGUAGGAAAGUCUAAGGAGCCUUUGAUUCGACUCUAGCUACUCAAUCGGAGCAGAUCUGGGUCACUGCCUCCUCCUCCUGUCAUCGGUCUUUCUUGUACUCGUACUACUCGGCUGUGCUCGUCUCAAGGUCCCUUUGAGCUUCUCUGAUUAGAGGCAGUGUUAAGGCUCGCCGCUCGGAAAACCUCAGCCUAGUUCAAUCGACAACAUCUCAAGGUGUAUCAUCGACGUCUGCUUGAGGUUCCUCUUCUCGCUUCCUGGUUUCAGAUCAAGGGUUUUGAGGACGACCCGCCGUGUUUGAUUCUUGUCGUUAGAAGACGGAACAGUAAACAGACGUUGGCUCACCUGUUUUGAGGAGACUUUUUCUCCUCCUGCGCUGUAAUCCCCAUUCUUGUAGCUCCGGCAAAACAUGGAUACCAACAAAAUCGGAACAAUUAUGGAACAAUUACAUACGAAGAACUGAAAACAGGGCUAACUAGGCUUGGUUCUAAACUGGCUGAAACUGAAGUGAAGCAACUCAUGGAAGCUAGGUAUGUUUGCUCGACGUCCUCCUCCUGUGGUGUUCCAGGGCCGUUGCCUACAGCCUUCGUCGAAGCCGCUUGGAGCCACUCUCGGGUGUGUGUUCGUGCAUGUUGCCUGAGUCUAUUUCUCUUGUCUUAUAUGGUCGAUCAAAGAGUCAAGAAAUGCUAUAUGUUUGGGAUCUGUAUGUUGUCUAUUGCACUGUUUUUGUUCUCCAAGAUUACCAUUCAUGGUAGACUUGGGUUUAAUCUCUAGUGUUUCUUAGGGGCUUUUUUUUAAAAAAAAAUUGCAGUCUCUGGGAUUAUCCCCUACGGUAACUGAGCUUGGAUAAUGCAGGAGGACAAUUAUGUCUAUUCAAUUCAAUUCUUCUAUCCGAUUGCUUAAUUAUUUUUUUUCCUGCAUGAUGUCCUAAAUGUCUUUUGUUUCAUGGUUUUCUAGCCAAUUUGGCCUAAUUUUAAUUGAACAGAAGUAGUUUUCAGGUCAGAGUUGUUUUGAGUGGAAGAUAAAUACGAAGAAGGAAGCUUUAUUAGUUCUAAAUUCCCAAAACACUUUCAUCAAGUUGUAAAGCUAGCUUACUUAUGCUUUGAAUGAUAAAAUUAACCUUUUAUAAUCAGUAAAUGAGGCCACCUAUUUUUUUUCACUUUUUUGAGUUUUUCAUUUUGUCGUUAUCUGUGUGGAAGUGUAAACUUAAAUUCAUCUUUGAAAGUAGGGUAACCUUGAUCUUAGGCCCAACAUUAACUCUCAAGUGCAGAACACCAAGAAGGCCUUCCUUUUCUUAUGCUUUUAGUUAGUUAGUCGUGUAAAGGCAAAAUCAACUUACCAAGGUCUUUUUUUUUUUGAAAAAACUUACCAAGGUCUUGCAUAAGGCAAAUUCAAACAGCUGCAUGGUUUUUUGGUGAUGGUAUCUGAUAAAGUUUAGUUGGUCAUGUUUGCUUGCGGUGAUUAAUAUUUUAUAGGUUUGUCACAAAAUUGAUUUUUUUCUCUCUCAAAUAAUAGAUCUUGUUACAUAGAUAAAUUAUAUUUUAAAAUUGUUAUUGAUGGUGACUUUUAAUCUUUUCACAUAUUCAUUAACCUGUUCAAAAAUAAUUCGGAUUGAUAAACGAACUCGGCCCAGAGUGAGUAUUUUUACUCGUCCCAAACUAACGAAGACACAGAACGACGUCGUAAUACAGCUUUCUUUUCCUCAGUAUCUGGAGAUCAUCAUCACAGGCCCUCCAUGAUAAUUUGUCAGAGAGAGAGAGAGAGAGAGAGAGAGAGAGAGAGAGAGAGAGAGAGAGAGAGAGAGAGAGAGAGAGAGAGAGAGAGAGAGAGAGAGAGAGAGAGAGAGAGAGAGAGAGAGAGAUGCAGAUUAGGAUUAUUAUGUUUUGUAAUUUGAUUGGUUGUUAUUAGGGAAAAUGCUUAACUAGGAUUAUUAUGUUUUGUAAUUUGAUUGGUUGUUAUUACAGAGCUUUGAGUUCAAACUUUUGUUUUGUUUGCUCUUUUUUUGUUUUUUCUUGUCCCAAUGUAAUAUUUUGUGAAGCUGUAGCUAUAUAUGGCGUUAUAGUUGCAAUCAUACGGCAAACGAAGUUGGAGAGUGUCCCAACUUCAAAGAUGUAUGACGCAGAGUCUCUUAGAGCUGGAUAUGCGAUCUUCGCAUCUGGAAUCAUUGUUGGAUUGCCAACCUUAUAUGCGGGUUAUGCGUAGGAAUCAUUGGAAGCAGCUGCGCUUUGUCAGAUGCUCAGAACUCCACACUCUUUGUGAAGAUUCUUGUUAUUGAGAUCUUCGGAAGCGCUCUCGGGUUGUUUGGAGUUAUUGUUGGGAUCAUUAUGUCCGCACAAGCAACAUGGCCUACCAAAUAGAUAUAAACGUGUCUGAAACUGUUGUGAUCUCUGGUAUCUUCAUUGUUAUAUAUAUGGAUGGAUACUCUCAUUAGUGUCUAGAAGAACAACCCGUGUGAGAACUCAAAACCUCUUUUGGAUCCCUGAUUUUUUGUGUUGUUUAAAACUUUGUAAUAAUUGGAGAGCUUAUUCUUCAUGUUUGUAUUAUCGUUGGUUUCUCUUUGUGACAAAGACAAGAGUUGUGUAUAUGAUUUGUUGUUGGUUAAAAUGGAAUAUUUCAUUCAGUUGA